rfam:Schistosoma curassoni strain Dakar, Senegal genome assembly, scaffold: SCTD_scaffold0013478
AUACAGCUGAUGAGUUCGAAACAGGGCGAAACGCGCGUUCUGGAU